rnacentral:rRNA from 1 species
UACAGAGGUCUCAAGCGUUGUUCGGAUUCAUUGGGCGUAAAGGGUGCGUAGGCGGCGCGGUAAGUCGGGUGUGAAAUCUCGGAGCUUAACUCCGAAACUGCAUUCGAUACUGCCGUGCUUGAGGACUGGAGAGGAGACUGGAAUUUACGGUGUAGCGGUGAAAUGCGUAGAGAUUGGAAAGAACACCGAUGGCGAAGGCACUUUACUGGGCUAUUACUAACACUCAGAGACGAAAGCUAGGGUAGCAAAUGGG